CCGGCCAAUCCGCAUCGCUGGAUCCCUAUAUCCCGCCUUCCGAGGACAGGCUGCGCCUCGGCCCGGCGGCCAUGUUGAGUGUGGCAGACGUGCCGCUCCGUCUGGGGGUCCCUCUCCUGGCCCCCUCGCCCUUUCCUUCGCGCUCUCCGCACCGGGGAUCUAAAAGAGAAGAAGGAAGUUGUUGAAGAAACAGAAAAUGGCAGAGAUGCACCGGCCAACGGCAACGCUAACGAGGAAAAUGGAGAGCAGGAGGCCGACAACGAAGUAGACGAAGAGGAAGAGGAAGGUGGCGAGGAAGAGGACGAGGAGGAAGAAGGUGAGGAGGAGGACGGUGAUGAAGACGACGAAGCUGAGGGAGCCACAGGCAAACGGGCAGCUGAGGACGAUGAGGAUGACGACGUCGAUCCCAAGAAGCAGAAAACCGACGAAGAUGACUAGGCAGCAAAUUAUUAUUAUUUUUUUUUUUUAAAUAAGGAGGAAAACAAACCAACAAAAAAGGCCAGCGCGUCCUCUUCACCCUUGGGANNNNNNNNNNCCCCACACAGACCCCCUCCCCCCCAAGCACCAAAACUUCAAGGCCCUGCUUUCUUUCUUAAAAGUACUUUAAAGGAGAAUUUGUUUGUAUUUUUUAUUUACAUUUUAUAUUUUUGUACAUAUUGUUAGGAGGUCCGCCAUUUUUAAGUGAUCUCGGAUUGACCAAAAGGGGGGCUUUGAAGUGUAUAUCUCUCUUGUUACCUAUCUCUGACUUUACUUGUGGUGUGACCAGGCCCAAACCAUUAUCUCAAAGGAGAAUAAAACAAAACCUUGUAAAAAAAUUAAAAAAAAA
rnacentral:lncRNA from 1 species